rnacentral:misc_RNA from 1 species
UUUCCGUAGGUGAACCUGCGGAAGGAUCAUUGCAGUGUUCUCUGCCCUCACGGGUAGAAACGCCCACCCUUGUGUAUUAUAUCUUUGUUGCUUUGGCAGGCCGCCCUCGGGCACCGGCUCCGGCUGGAUCGCGCCUGCCAGAGGAAACCCAAACUCUGAAUGUUAGUGUCGUCUGAGUACUAUCUAAUAGUUAAAACUUUCAACAACGGAUCUCUUGGUUCUG